rnacentral:rRNA from 1 species
UGGCGAACGGGUGAGUAACACGUGGGUAACCUGCCCAUCAGAAGGGGAUAACACUUGGAAACAGGUGCUAAUACCGUAUAACACUAUUUUCCGCAUGGAAGAAAGUUGAAAGGCGCUUUUGCGUCACUGAUGGAUGGACCCGCGGUGCAUUAGCUAGUUGGUGAGGUAACGGCUCACCAAGGCAACGAUGCAUAGCCGACCUGAGAGGGUGAUCGGCCACACUGGGACUGAGACACGGCCCAGACUCCUACGGGAGGCAGCAGUAGGGAAUCUUCGGCAAUGGACGAAAGUCUGACCGAGCAACGCCGCGUGAGUGAAGAAAGGUUUUCGGAUCGUAAAAACU